rnacentral:rRNA from 1 species
GACAGAGGGUGCAAACGUUGUUCGGAAUUACUGGGCGUAAAGCGCGUGUAGGCGGCCCUGCAAGUCGGGUGUGAAAUCCCACGGCUCAACCGUGGAAGUGCACUCGAAACUGCAAGGCUAGAGUCCUGGAGAGGAAGGUGGAAUGCUUGGUGUAGAGGUGAAAUUCGUAGAUAUCAAGCGGAACACCGAUGGCGAAGGCAGUUCUCUGGGCCGUAACUGACGCUGAGGAGCGAAAGCGUGGGGAGCGAACAGG